rnacentral:rRNA from 1 species
UAUACUGUGAAACUGCGAAUGGCUCAUUAAAUCAGUUAUCGUUUAUUUGAUAGUACCUUACUACUUGGAUAACCGUGGUAAUUCUAGAGCUAAUACAUGCUAAAAACCCCGACUUUUGAAGGGGUGUAUUUAUUAGAUAAAAAACCAAUGCCCUUCGGGGCUCCUUGGUGAUUCAUAAUAACUAAACGAAUCGCAUGGCCUUGCGCCGGCGAUGGUUCAUUCAAAUUUCUGCCCUAUCAACUUUCGAUGGUAGGAUAGUGGCCUACCAUGGUUUCAACGGGUAACGGGGAAUUAGGGUUCUAUUCCGGAGAGGGAGCCUGAGAAACGGCUACCACAUCCAAGGAAGGCAGCAGGCGCGCAAAUUACCCAAUCCCGACACGGGGAGGUAGUGACAAUAAAUACUGAUACAGGGCUCUUAUGGGUCUUGUAAUUGGAAUGAGUACAAUUUAAAUCCCUUAACGAGGAACAAUUGGAGGGCAAGUCUGGUGCCAGCAGCCGCGGUAAUUCCAGCUCCAAUAGCGUAUAUUAAAGUUGUUGCAGUUAAAAAGCUCGUAGUUGAACCUUGGGCCUGGCUGGUCGGUCCGCCUCACCGCGUGUACUGAUCCGGCCGGGCCUUUCCUUCUGGCUAGCCGCAUGCCCUUCACUGGGUGUGUUGGUGAACCAGGACUUUUACUUUGAAAAAAUUAGAGUGUUCAAAGCAGGCCUUUGCUCGAAUACAUUAGCAUGGAAUAAUAGAAUAGGACGUGUGGUUCUAUUUUGUUGGUUUCUAGGACCGCCGUAAUGAUUAAUAGGGAUAGUCGGGGGUAUCAGUAUUCAAUUGUCAGAGGUGAAAUUCUUAGAUUUAUUGAAGACUAACUACUGCGAAAGCAUUUACCAAGGAUGUUUUCAUUAAUCAGUGAACGAAAGUUAGGGGAUCGAAGACGAUCAGAUACCGUCGUAGUCUUAACCGUAAACUAUGCCGACUAGGGAUCGGGUGAUGUUAUUAUUUUGACUCGCUCGGCACCUUACGAGAAAUCAAAGUC